rnacentral:rRNA from 1 species
AGGAAUAUUGGUCAAUGGGCGAGAGCCUGAACCAGCCAAGUCGCGUGAGGGAAGACGGCCCUACGGGUUGUAAACCUCUUUUGUCAGGGAGCAAGAACAGGCACGUGUGCCUGACUGAGAGUACCUGAAGAAAAAGCAUCGGCUAACUCCGUGCCAGCAGCCGCGGUAAUACGGAGGAUGCGAGCGUUAUCCGGAUUUAUUGGGUUUAAAGGGUGCGUAGGCGGACUGCCAAGUCAGCGGUAAAAUAGCGGGGCUCAACCCCGUCGAGCCGUUGAAACUGGUGGUCUUGAGUGGGCGAGAAGUACGCGGAAUGUGUGGUGUAGCGGUGAAAUGCAUAGAUAUCACGCAGAACUCCGAUUGCGAAGGCAGCGUACCGGCGCCCGACUGACGCUGAAGCACGAAAGCGUGGGUAUCGAACAGGAUUAGAUACCCUGGUAGUCCACGCAGUAAACGAUGAAUGCUAGCUGUCCGGGACGAAUGAGUCCUGGGUGGCACAGCGAAAGCGUUAAGCAUUCCACCUGGGGAGUACGCCGGCAACGGUGAAACUCAAAGGAAUUGACGGGGGCCCGCACAAGCGGAGGAACAUGUGGUUUAAUUCGAUGAUACGCGAGGAACCUUACCCGGGCUCAAACGCACUACGAAUGAUGCUGAAAGGUGUCAGCCAGCAAUGGCGUAGUGCGAGGUGCUGCAUGGUUGUCGUCAGCUCGUGCCGUGAGGUGUCGGCUUAAGUGCCAUAACGAGCGCAACCCCUACCGACAGUUGCUAACUGGUCAAGCAAAGGACUCUGUCGGGACUGCCGGCGCAAGCUGUGAGGAAGGCGGGGAUGACGUCAAAUCAGCACGGCCCUUACGUCCGGGGCGACACACGUGUUACAAUGGCAGGUACAGCGGGAAGCCACCUGGCGACAGGGAGCGGAACCCGAAAACCUGUCUCAGUUCGGAUUGGAGUCUGCAACCCGACUCCAUGAAGCUGGAUUCGCUAGUAAUCGCGCAUCAGCCAUGGCGCGGUGAAUACGUUCCCG